UACGGGGGGGGGGCAAGCGUUUGUUCGGAAUUACUGGGCGUAAAGGGCGCGUAGGCGGCCUUCUAAGUCGAACGUGAAAUCCCUGGGCUCAACCCAGGAACUGCGUCCGAUACUGGAAGGCUUGAAUCCGGGAGAGGGAUGCGGAAUUCCAGGUGUAGCGGUGAAAUGCGUAGAUAUCUGGAGGAACACCGGUGGCGAAGGCGGCAUCCUGGACCGGUAUUGACGCUGAGGCGCGAAAGCCAGGGGAGCAAACGGG
rnacentral:rRNA from 1 species